UAGGUCCCUGGACGUAGCACACCUCCCAGUGUCAUUUUUGUGAUUUGCAGCUAGUAGUCUGGGUCCAGUUGCAUAGUCACAAAAAUGAUCAUUGGUAGGUGUGAGUGCAGCAGGAGUGAG
rnacentral:pre_miRNA from 8 species